rnacentral:rRNA from 1 species
UACGUAGGUGGCAAGCGUUGUCCGGAAUUAUUGGGCGUAAAGCGCGCGCAGGCGGUCUUUUAAGCUUGAUGUGAAAGCCCACGGCUCAACCGUGGAGGGUCAUUGGAAACUGGGGGACUUGAGUGCAGGAGAGAAGAGUGGAAUUCCACGUGUAGCGGUGAAAUGCGUAGAGAUGUGGAGGAACACCAGUGGCGAAGGCGACUCUUUGGCCUGUAACUGACGCUGAGGCGCGAAAGCGUGGGGAGCAAACAGG